ACGGAGGGUGCAAGCGUUAUCCGGAUUCACUGGGUUUAAAGGGAGCGCAGGCGGGCAUGUAAGUCAGCGGUGAAAGCCCCAAGCUUAACUUGGGAACUGCCUUUGAUACUAUGUGUCUUGAAUAUUGUUGAGGUAUGCGGAAUGGGUCAUGUAGCGGUGAAAUGCAUAGAUAUGACCCGGAACACCAAUUGCGAAGGCAGCAUGCUAAACAAAGAUUGACGCUGAGGCUCGAAAACGUGGGGAUCAAACAGGA
rnacentral:rRNA from 1 species